rnacentral:rRNA from 1 species
UACGAAGGGGGCUAGCGUUGCUCGGAAUCACUGGGCGUAAAAGGUGCGUAGGCGGGUCUUUAAGUCAGGGGUGAAAUCCUGGAGCUCAACCCCAGAACUGCCUUUGAUACUGAGGAUCUUGAGUUCGGGAGAGGUGAGUGGAACUGCGAGUGUAGAGGUGAAAUUCGUAGAUAUUCGCAAGAACACCAGUGGCGAAGGCGGCUCACUGGCCCGAUACUGACGCUGAGGCACGAAAGCGUGGGGAGCAAACAGG